AUUUUAAGCCUGUUUGGGUUCCCACUGUUUAAUAAAUAUGCAUUAAUAGUAUAAAUUACCAUGUCUUCUUAUUCCCUGACUCCUCUCUUGAUUGAAUUUUUUCAUCCCUCUUAAGCUGACUAAAACAGCUUCUUUAGGAACUUUGUCUUUAAAUUUCUUUGAAGAGCCUAGAACUAAAUAUUUUUAGCCUAUUAGACCUAGCUCAUUUUUUUGUAACAUUUAGUCAUUCCUCAUUUACUAUCUUGAAGUGAAAGUCAAAGAUAAUACAACUCACCUAUACACAUAACUUGUAAAAAAAGUUUAUAUUUAAAUUCCUAUCUUUAGGAUAAAAGAGAAAGGUGCGGACAGUAAUCCAUGGUAAACUACUCUGAAUUUCAACCAUCGGUACUCUGGCACCACUAUAUGGGAGGCAUGCCGAAAUAGUAGGAUGUGUGUACCUCUCGCACAGCCACCAUGGGUACACCGCCCCUCAGCCCCAGGUGGACUGUCACAGGUGUGGGCCAGAUUUGAGCCAAGCAAGGCCCUAUUUAAUUUCCCAAAGUAUAAUUUCUCCUGUAUAAUUUCCCAGUGUUAUAAUUUUCCAAACUGAUGGUCAAUUGCUGUUAAAGCUCUGAACACAGCGAAGUACAGUCUUUCCUCAGCUUACAUGCUAAUACAUGCCUUGAAAAUGUUAGCUACUAAACUUGAGUAGAAAUAUUUUCUUUAUAUAGUAAACAGAUAGAUUCCAGACUUAGAGCAUUGUAAGUUUUUUAUCUCCAAGGAUGACAAGGGGGAGCAUUUGAAAGUCAGGUGAGACAUGGGACAGUUUUUCAUGGUGCAGGGGAGCCCCACACUUUGCAGGGCAUCAAGCAGGUUCUGCCUCCUGCUCAUGGAAUGUCAGUAGCAUCCUCCCCCAUCACUAGGAUGAUGAAACGCACCCCACAAAUUUUGAAAAAGCCUACACAGUGAGAAACACUAUUAUAGAACAUUGAGGAUGCUUUGUAAUGAAUGUGAUUUUGUUUUAUUAAAGAGUAUAAUUAUUGACAGCCAAUGCAGUACAUUGAGCUCCAUAGAGACAGUGCCGGGGCAAGUGAGAGCCGGACGGGCACUGGGCGACUCUGUGCCUCGCUGAGGAAAAAUAACUAAACAUGGGCAAGGGAGAUCCUAAGAAGCCGAGAGGCAAAAUGUCAUCAUAUGCAUUUUUUGUGCAAACUUGUCGGGAGGAGCAUAAGAAGAAGCACCCAGAUGCUUCAGUCAACUUCUCAGAGUUUUCUAAGAAGUGCUCAGAGAGGUGGAAGACCAUGUCUGCUAAAGAGAAAAAAAAAUUUGAAGAUACGGCAAAGGCGGAUAAGGCCCGUUAUGAGAGGGAAAUGAAAACCUAUAUUCCUCCUAAAGGGGAGACAAAAAAGAAGUUCAAGGAUCCCAAUGCACCCAAGAGGCCUCCUUCGGCCUUUUUCCUGUUCUGCUCUGAGUAUCACCCAAAAAUUAAAGGAAAACAUCCUGGCCUGUCCGUUGGUGAUGUUGCGAAGAAACUGGGAGAGAUGUGGAAUAACACUGCUGCAGAUGACAAGCAGCCUUAUGAAAAGAAGGCCGCGAAGCUGAAGGAAAAAUAUGAAAAGGAUAUUGCUGCAUAUUGAGCUAAAGGAAAGCCUGAUGCAGCCAAAAAGGGAGUUGUCAAGGCUGAAAAAAGCAAGAAAAAGAAGGAAGAGGAGGAAGAUGAGGAAGAUGAAGAGGAGGAGGAAGAGGAAGAUGAAGAAGAUGAAGAAGAAGAUGAUGAUGAUGAAUAAGUUGGUUCUAGCGCAGUUUUGUUUUCUUGUCUAUAAAGCAUUUAACCCCCCUGUACACAACUCACUCCUUUUAAAGAAAAAAAUUGAAAUGUAAAAAAAAAAAAAAGUAUAAUUAUUGUAGGAACCUAUGGUUUAGUCACCUCCAUACUGAAUGAUCAUCAUUUGUCUUGCUACUACAUCAUAAGCCUAUCAAGGGCCAACAUGUAUCUUACUGUGUCUAGGGGAUCCUACACAGUAUCAGGCAAUAUAUUGGUGAUUGGUCUGUUGAAUAAAUAAAAACUCAUAAACCAUCUCCUCUAUUUUCAAAGGAACUGAUAUCACUGUAAUUAGUAAUACAUACCACUGUUAUCAAGCUUCAUUGUUAAAAUAUUACUGUUAAGCUAUUAAUUGCUAGAUUGUAAAACCUAGAAAAUAGCCAAUGAUCCAUGCCUAGUUGGAGCAGGUUAUCUUUCUUUUUAUGUUGAAUUUUUUUAUUAAUAUCAUUUAAAAGUAACAUGUAAGAAAAAAGAUGCUAGCAACAUUUACAGACUGUGUGUUAUUUUCUCCUUUAAGGAAAAUUCUCUCUCAUUGUUACAAAACUAUAGAGAGCUUCUUGGUACAAUAGGGCAGAGAAAAACAAUAAAGAAGUCUCCAUCCCCUGGGGUGUUGUGAUCCAUUUGGAGUGAUGGACUACACAUCUAGAACCAUUAAAGCUAAUAACUAAGUGCCCCGUGGAAUAGUGAUGUUGACAGAUACAGUAAGAGUCCCAGGAAGGGAUUAUGAUGAGUAAUCAAGAUAGUCAGAAGGCUCAUGGAAUGAUAGGACUUUGAGCUCAUCUAAGUGAUGGGUGGAAUUUGAACUGGUGAAGAGGUCCACAUCUUCAGCAAAGGGAUAAAAAUGUAACAAAGGUUUAGAGGUGGCAGUUAACAUGAUAGGUGUGGAAGGCAGCCAGCAGGGCAGUGGCCAGGGAUGAUGGUGGGUUGGAGAAAGAGCAUGACUCUUGGGGAAAAAUGUAAAGAAAGUUGGUUGGCAGAGUGAGGGCCAAACUCAGAUUAUUUUGUUUUGGCCAAAAUUAACUUUAAAAGACCAGAUGUUAAUCUUAAAUGUUAUACCUUUUUAAAAAGUAUUCUUUUCAGAGGUUUGUUUUUAUUUUACUUAUUUGUGUCAGUAAAAAUAAAAUGUUGAUGGUCAGAUUUUAGAUUGAGUGCUUAGUAGUCAUACAAGUAUCAUAAAGCAAGAUUUAGGUAAGAGAAAAUGGUAUCUUUUGUUUUUAUUUACUGUAUCAUUUUAUAUUCCAUUAUAUUUUAUUGCCUUCAUUCAGUUAACUCAAGUUAGAAUAAAUGAGAAUACAAAGUUAAAGGAAGGCCGAGUGGAGAACUAAACUUGAAUUGGAAUCAGGAGUCACUGACUACUGUGCCAGCGUGGGCAAUAACUUUACUAUAAUGAACUUCCGUGUUCCCGUCUUUAAAAUGGUGGUAACACCUUAUCCAUAAACACACUACAGGUCCGUGGAUUCAGUGUCAUAACAGCCUAUUGUGGCACUAAGAAGGCACUUAACGGAUGUUAGUUCCCUUAUUGGAUUAAAAUGAGAUAUUAACUCCUUUAAGAUUAGGUACAAUUUGUGUUGAGUCAGUACCAUUAAAGCUUAUAAAAAUUUCAUCAUAUCAGACAAGUAUUUAUUAUGGGUGAUCCUGGAUUCUCUAAACUGCAGUUUCUUAAUCUAUAAAAUAGGGAUAAAAAUACUCGUAGAGUUAUGAGGAUUAAGUGAGAUAGUCAGCACAGUGACUGCUGUUACCUAGCAAUCAUACAGUAAGCACUAUCAUUAGUAUAAUGAUGUUCUAAUUAUGAUGCCUGCUGCAUGCUACACAUUUAUAUGGUCUCUGUAUUCACUGCAGUCCUCAGUGGCAUGUGUUAUUAAUGUUCCUAUGUUUAUAUGAGCAGGAACCAAAUACAGGGAACUUAAGUGACUUGCUCAGUUUCCAACUGGUUCAUUAGUAAGGUUGGACUUGACCACAGAUCUUCUGAACCCAAAUCAGGUGUGGUUUCACUAUGCCAGUGCUGCUUCAAGCCUUUGCAAUGUGUAGGAUAACCCUUUCCUUCAAAUCCCCUUUUAAAAAUGAUUUAUGACUGGAUGCAGUGACUCAUGCCUGUAAUUCCAGCAUUUCAGGAGGCUGAGGCAGGAGGAUCACUCAAGGCCAGAAGUUUGAGACCAGCUUGCUCAACACAGUGAGACCCAGUUGCUACAAAAAAAAUUUUGAAAAAAAUUAGCCAGUGGGCGCGGUGGCUUGCCCCUGUAAUCCCAGUACGUUGGGAGGCUGAGGAGGGUGGAUCAUGAGGUCAGGAGUUCGAGACCAGAGUGACCAACAUGGUGAAACCCGAUCUCUACUAAAAAUACAAAAAUUAGCCAGGCCUGGUGGUACGUGCCUGUAAUCCCAGCUGCUCAGGAGGCUGAGGCAGGAGACUGCUUGAAUCCCAGAGGUAGAGGUUGCAGUGAGCUGAAAUCGCACCACUGCACUCCAGCCUGGGUGACAGAGCGAGACUACUUCUCAAAAAAAAAAAAAAAAAACCGAGGCAUGGUGACACAUGCCGAUAGUCCCAGCUACUUGAGAGACUGAGAUGAAGGAUUGCUUGACCCCAGGAGAUCGAGACUGCCUUGAGCUAUGAUCAUGCCCCUGCACUCCACACUGGGUGAUGGAGUGAGACCUUGUCUCUAAAUAAAUAAAAAUGAUUUAUAUAAUGGUUUGGAAAUCACUGGAAAAAAUACUGGACCUUGCUUGAGACCCAGAGCCUCAAGUAACAUUGUGUAUAGUACCAGCCCUGCCUAGAGCUGCCUGUCCAACGAUGAAGGUAUAGAUGAAACAGAUAACCCUGUUCCUAGCAACUCCACUUUGUUUGCAGUGCAUCCCAGUGCCUUCAUGCUCACAGUGCAGGCUGUGGAAGUUGGGUGAGAAAUUUGACUACUAGGAUUUGUUCAACACAGUUUGCCUUUUACUAUUGAUCACUGCUUUCCAGAAUUGUAAACAUGUUUGCAGAACAAAGGUACUGCAAACCUAGACAUAUGUUGGGUUGCAGAAGUUGCCAUCAUAGACCCACAUGUAGUAUCAUUCUUGGCACAUAGAAUUUUAGCAAGUUGAAAACAAAGUUUGCAGGAGCAGGGAAAUGUUAAACAUCUGCCAAAGUGAAUUAUGAAGGAGAAAUUGUAUUUACUAAAAAUGUCUGUGCUUUUCAAUUACCUGAACAUUAUAAUGCUCAGUAUUUCAGGGUUAUGUGAAAAACCUAAAAUGUUAACAUUAACAUUGAAACUCACAUUCUUCAUUGGAGUGGAAGUUAGAAGGUGUCCUGUCUGUCUUACUCUUUUGCAUUCAAGGACAGGCUGAUUUUUUUUUGAGUUGCUGUAAGGUCAUCUGGUGAUUUUUUUUUUUUAAACCGAAUUGCUGUGAGAAAGUAUACAGCUCAUCUGCUGGCUCAGGAUCUGUGCCAAAAGAACCUUUGGAAUAACAACAGCAGAAUUCAUGAAAUUCCUGUGAGUUUCAUUCUGUUCUUUGAAUGCUGGCUUAUUGAAAGAUAUAUGGGCAGCCACAGGCACAGCUAGAAUUAGGCACAGCCAGAAUUCACCAUCUGCCACUACUCUUGGGAGUAUAGGAAGAUGAUGAUAAUGUUAAUAUUAUUAAUUAUUCAUCUUAGACAUUUAUUAAGACUCCACAGUCUUUGGCUCUUGGAGCUCAUGCUGUAAAGAGCUCGCUUUAAAAAACAAUAUAGAAUAAAUUUUACUUAAAAUUUACUUGUUCUCAAGUGUUAGAAGGUACAAUGGAUGGAUAACACAUUAAGGUUGAAAAAAUGCAAAAUAUAAGGGUAUGUAUGGCCCUGAUACUUUAAUAGAAUCUUUAUUUGAGAACAAAUGUAGACCUUUUCUAUGAGGUCUUUGAACAUGUUCUGUGAACAUACAGACUUUUUCUAUGAGGAAUACCUAUAUUUGAUUCAUUAAUAGAUGUAAAAUCAGUUUAAUAAAAUUUCAACAUUGAAAAAGGACCUUGGAAUAGCCUAGCCAUGUGCCCUGUGCGUGAGGCUUCUCAAUAACAUCCUCAUGGCAGAUGUGUUCAGCUUCUGCUUAAAUACCUCCCAUGACAGGAAACUCAUUAUUUCCAGAGGAAAUUGAUCCACUCAACAUAUUUACUGAGCACCUGUUUACUGUCUGAUCCAGUAGAGCUUACACGUAGCCAGAAGAGUCAGACAAUGAACAAUAGAUUCAAUUAAUAAGUAAAUUAUAUCUCAAGUUCAUUCCAUUAUCAGAUGUGUCAUUUAGUCAGAAAGCUUUGUCUUAUAUUUCCUUCCACAUAAUGAUUGUUUAGGUGUUUGAAGAAAGUAUUUGUUGCCCUCUCAAGUUGACCUCAUUUUCAAACUGUACGCUCCUGGUUGGUGAAACAGUUGUUCAUAUGUAUUAGUUUGCAAGGGCCACCAUAACAAGGUACCACAGGCUGUUUGGCUGAAACACCACACAUUUGUUUUCUCACAUUUCUGAGAGCUGGAAGUCCCAGGUCAAGGUGCUGGCAAGGUUGGUUCUUUAUGAGGCCUCUCUCCUGGCCUUAUAGAUCACAGUCUUCUCCCUGUGUCCUCCCAUGCUGUUUGUAUUUGUCUGUGUGAUAAUCUUCUUUUCUUUGUUGUUGCUGUUGUUGUUUUGAGACUGAGUCUCAUUCUGUCACCCAGGCUGGAGUGCAGUGGUACAAUCUUGGCUCACUACAACCUCCUCCUCCUCCCCGGUUCAAGCCAUUCUCCUGCCUCAGCCUCCCAACUAGCCGGGAUUACAGGUGCCUGUGGAUUUCACCAUGUUGGCCAGGUUGGUCUCAAACUCCUGACCUCAGUUGAUCAUCCUGCCUUAGCCUCCCAAAGUGCUGGGAUUUACAGGAGUGAGCCACCAUCCCCAGCCACUAAUCUUAAAAGGACACGAGUCAUAUUGGAUUGGGUCCACCCUAAUAACCUUGUUUUAUCUUAGUUGUUACUUUAAAAGCCCUGUCUCUAAAUACAGUCACAUUCUGAGUACUGAGGGUUGGGACUUCAACAUAUGGAUUUGGGGGGCACAAGUUAGCCCCUAACACAUAUCCCUUGUCUGUUAGAACCCACAGACAUGGGAGGGUAAUUCCAUGGAUAAAACCAGGCAAGAUGGUCCCAUCCCAUGUUCUAGGCAUCUAGAGUACCUUUGAUAGUCCCAGUAUGGUUGACUGAUACUGAGCUUGCAGUCUAUGAGAAAUCCCAAGUCUCUAAACAGCUUGUUUUUUAGUCUUGUCUUAACCUAUCCUUUGCAUACUUUAUUCUUUUGGCUAGUUAUGCUGGGGAUACAGCAGGGAACCAAGUAGACAUUGUCCCGGCUCUUUUGGAACUCAACAUAUAUUAGUGAAGACUGUCAGUGCACAAGUGAACAAACAAAUAUGUAGUUAUAAAUUGUAAGAUGUACGAUAAAGUGAAUGAACAGAUAAAUAAGAGACGAGCCAUCCUACUCUUGAUAGUUUGUUUUGGUUUGUUUGUUUUGGGUAGGGUAUGGAGCUUGGCAUUUACCCUGAAAUAAAAUAUUAUUUUUAAUAUAUCUGGCCUCUUAUUGCACCCUACCCUAACUAUUUGUAGAAGAGAUCCUGGCUGUUAUUUGUUAUAUUUAGUGCCUCCAUCCUUCUUCGCUUUAUUCCUAAAUGUGAUAAGUGUGACACCUCUGGCUUUUUCCAGAGCAUUAAUAAAAAUGUCUAACGGGACAGAACAGUACCAUUGUCGUCCUAGAACUAACAGUAAUAUCCGUUAGCUACACAUAGAUAAAAGUCCAGCCAGCAUAUGUAAAGUGAGACUCUUAUUAGAAAUAUUAACAAGAUUAACGCUGCCCUCUGCUAAGUUUUCUGUUUCACCAGCCGAGUCUUAAAUGUUCAUCUGGCUGUACCACACUGAUCACAAAAGGCCUUUCAAGUUGUUUGCCUGAUGAUGUUUAAAGGCCAAACUCAUUUAAAGUAUUUCACCCAUCAUGUGGGGAAGUAGAAGUUGUUUUUAGUCUAACCAGAAGGAACAUCAUUGACAAACCAGAAUACCUACGUUUUGCAGGGCCAAGGCUCCAAGGUGAUGUUCAUCAGCUCCUUUCAUAAGGAUCUAAUGUGCCCAUAUAGCCCCACUCCAGUCACCCAGGAAGUGUAUGUCCAAGGCCAGCACCUACCCAGGCUAAUUCCACGAUGCCCUCUCUCUCCUUAUCUUGGGCAUCCUUGGCGUUAAUGGCCAGUUCUGUACUUGCUGUCCUGGCUCUACCUGGUUUCCCACACAGACAGUUCCCAUGUUUGUGCUCGGCUAAUGAACCCAGUUUUUUUGAGUAAGAGGCACCCCAGAUCUCUCAGCUAAUGGUCCACUGAGCUGACUCUCUUUUUAGUUGGGGUAGGGAGGGUUAAUCAAAUUUAGACAACUGGGGAUUGAACAGAUCAUCCAGCAGGUACAUCAACCUUGGUUAUCAUAGGGUUACCCACCCAGAGCAGUGGAGAAAAUGAAAUGUUUUUAGAGACAGUCAUACUUGACCUUUAAUUUAGCAUGGACCAUAGCUUGUCAGGGUUCAUCAGCAGAGCGGUACUGUUGUAAGCGUUUGCUAAUGUAGAUAUUAUUUGACAUUAGUUUACUUGCUGAUUUGACACAUUUUCAUACAACAUAUAGUAAGCCAAAUUGCAACACAAUGUAUGUAUUUAUUUAUUGAAUAUUCCUUAAACACCUUAAACACCAGAACAUGCUAGGCAUUGUUCUGGAUGCUAAAAUUAUAGCAGUGAAUAAAAUAGAUACAGUUCCUUCCCUCGCAGAUCUUAUUUUCUGGCGGGAGAGGGUGGGAGACUAAGACCAUGAAAAUAUGUGUUAUUCAGAGAGUGAAAUAUGCUUUGAAUAAAAUAUAGCAAGGGAAGAAAGUUACAGUGACAGGGGUAGGACAUUUGACCUUAUUUUAGAUGGUCAAGGAACAUCUUGUUGAUAGGCAGAGACCUGAAGAAAGAGAAAGAGCAAACCAUAUGGACACCUGGAGAGAAGGAGUUUGGGCAGAAGGAAGAGCAAAUGCAAAGGCCCUGGGCUCAGUGUGUUCAAGGAAAAGCAAGGAGGCCACUAUGGCUGGUGUGGGGCCGCAGCUUAUUCUACACUGCUGUAUUUCAGAAAGUGUAGCAAAGAACCAGAUUGCUCUUUGCUAGACUUGCCCUAUUUUGUUGUGGUUGUUAACUAAAAGUUAAUGAGAAAAGAGUGUUUUGGGGUUUUUUGAGAUGGAGUUUUGCUCUGUCACCCAGGCUGGAGGGCAGUGGCACAAUUUUGGCUAACUACAACAUUUGCCUCCUGGGUUCAAGUAUUUCUCUGCCUCAGCCUCCUGAGUAGCUGGGAUUGCAGGUGCCCACCGCCACGCCCAGCUAACUUUUUUGUAUUUUUUAGUAGAAACAAGAUUUCACCAUCUUGGCCAGGCUGGUCUUGAACUCCUGACCUUGUGAUCCAUCCGCCUCAGCCUCCCAAAGUGCUAGGAUUACAGGCAUGAGCCACCACACCCAGCCAAAAAAGUAUUUUUUAUACUGCUAACUCUGUGUUCUUAAUUGGCUAAGGAUUUAACGUGUGUGUGUGUGUGUGUGUGUGUGUGUGUGUGUGUGUGUGUGUGUCUGUGUGUUUAGGUAUAUAUUUAAGACAUACCUUUUUAUGCUUCAAUGUGAGCUUGUGAAAGUUAGUAGUUUACCUGAUAUAAAAGCCUUCCUAAUCCAUUAUGCAGCCUGUGAUUAGCAAUCAGUCCUACAACUGCUAUUAUUUUCAUCCUCCAAGUAAAGCGUAGGAGUUAGGUAAGUGUCAGAGUAGUUUAAAAUUUGAAUAAGAACUCAAAUUCUUUACUGAUUUUCUUCUAUACCUACACCUAACUUCUAUAGAAACUAUCUCUUUAGUGGUGAAUGAUUUAAUAAGCAAAACCUGGGGUGAGUUUACUUCCUGAGGCAAGUUUAGUUUUUAGACAUAGUUGGCUUGCCCUGAGCUGCCCUUGGCCUAUUUCUGGGCAUUAUGCAUCCUGAGAAAUAUUGGGAUUUUUUUCUAUAACAGAGUAAACACUUCUCAUGCUUCUAAGUGUAAUAGGGCCCUAAGAGGUGGCCCUAUCCGGCGCAGAGUGUGCAGGUGAUGGUGGGCAUGGCUCAGCCUGUGCUGUCUGUGUGCUUCUAAUAUCCCAGUGCGGCUGUGCCUGUCCACUAACCUGCCGGUUACCACAGCAGAUAACAUAGUAGACUCAGGUUUCAAGAAGAGCAGCCACCCAGAGCAAAUGAAUAAAACUGUAACUACUUCAUGGUUAGGCUCUCGGAAAUGCCACUGAUAUAACCUCAGUUGGUCCUCAGAAGAAAGUCUGCAAAAACGAUAACAAUGCAUGAACUCAUUCCCUGACCGUAACCAUCAUAUUUAAAUGCCACAGUUUCUCCAUGUGGGAAAUUCAGAGACGUUGUGGACCUUUGCAUGAUGUGAAAGUGUGUUAAUUAGCUAGCUAGCUCCUUUUUGGAAAAGAAAACCUCAGAGUAAAACAUAGCAUUCUUUCUUGGCUGGAACUGCUCCUUCAUGAAUGAUCAGCCAGGUAAGCGUGUUCAGUAAAAUUAAGCCUCGCCAUUGGCAAGUGUUUGGAGAGCACUAGAAGGUUCAUGGAUACAUCCUGCAUCUGCCUUGUUGUUUUCUAAGGGGUGAACAUAUGGCAUUUAAGGAAAUUUUGUGGUUAGUAACAGAAGAUUUCAAAAUUAAUCUCUAGAAUUUAUAUCUCUUAGAUUGGAUAUUUUGAUAAAAACAAUAUUCCAUACUGUCAUGUGAUUUCUAGCCUUUGGUUUGUAUGAAACAAUUGUUUCACUGUUUCUGUAGAUUUCUAUAAGAAAUCACUUGGCAGAUACAUAGCAAAAGAAUGUUAUAUUUUACAUAUUUAAUGUAUUGAAAGGGAUGCUAUCAUACCCUUUGCUUUUGGGCUCACGCACAAAAAUAAACCUCAUGCUUAUAUUUAAAUUUAUUUUUUCACCUAGCAUGUUUUAGAAUCUGUUGUGUGCCAGGCACUAUGCUAGAUGCUGGUAAUUCAGAAAUGAAAGGCACAGCCUUCCACUUCCAUCAAGGAGCUUACAAUUUAGUGGGGAGACAGCAAAGUAAACUACAAAUGCAAGACCAGGUAACAAGUACUACUGGAGCCCAAAGUAAGGGCAUUUCACUUUGCCUGGGGAGGUCAGUCAGAGCUUCCCAAAAACAUGGGUAAGGGUUAGAGCUGGAAUUAAGAGGAAGGAAAAGCAAAAUGCAUAGUGCAGGGCCUGAGAGUAGUUCACAGCCUGGUGUUUUGUCAGACUUUCAGACAGUUCCCUGUAGCUGAAGCACACGGCUGCAUGAAGUUAGAGAGGUGGGAAGGGGUCUUGUAUGGCAACCAAGGAUUGAGCUGGAUCUCAAAAGGGAUUGAGAAGCAGUGAACAAUCUGGCAGCAGUUAUGAGGACUGAGCCAAUUGGAAAGCUAUUGCAUUGAGCCAGGUGAAGUAUUACAAAUACCAUAAUUAACAGAACAAUGGUAAGAAUGAGGAUGAGAAAACAGAUACAAGAAAAUUUUAAGAGGUAGAUUCAACAGGGUUUGCUGAGUCUUUGAAUCUGAGGGGUGAGAGGGAAGAAAAGCCUUCAAUUUCUAACUUGAGUGUCUUAGUAAAUGAUGAUGUCAUUCAGGCAAUAAAGGAGAAAAGAACUGGGGAAGAAGAUUGCUUAGCUCAGAUGUAGCCGUGUUGAAUUUCAGGUACCUGAGGAGUAUCCAGAUUGAGGUGGAUGAUAAGAUAUAAGGAGGUAAUAUACGGAUGUGGACUUCCACAGAGAGGUCUGAGAUUUAAAAGCAAUUUGGGAAACAACUGAAGCUGUGGGUUCAGAUGAAACACCCUAGGCAGUAUUUAUACGUAAGAAGGAAAGGGGCUGAAUGUGGAGCUCUGAGGUACUCUUGCAGGCAGGGACAGAGAAGGAACCCCUAAUGCAAAGAGACAAAAUAGUCACAGAGGUAGGAGGACAGAGGAGAUGAAUGUCAUAGUAGCCAAGUAAAAUGAACAUGUCAAAAAAAGACUUGGCUGGGCACGGUGACUCACACCUAUAAUCCAGCACUUUGGGAGGCCGAGGCAGGAGGAUCAUGAGGUCAGGAGUUGGAGACCAGCCUGGCCAGUAUGGCAAAACCCCAUCUCUACUAAAAAUACAAAAAUUAGUCGGGUGUGGUGGCAGGCGCCUGUAAUCCCAGCUACUCGGGAGGCUGAGGCAGGAGAAUUGCUUGAACCCGGGAGGUAGAGGUUGCAGUGAACCAAGAUUGAGCCACUUCACUCCAGCCUGGGCAACAGAACGAGACUCAAAAAAAAAAGAAGGCUUGACCAGUGAUGCCAAAUGCUGUCAAGAGACCAAGUAGGGUGAGGACUGGAAAGUUCCAUAGGGCUUGGGCGUUGUUGGUCAUGACACACUCAUUCCCAGUGUGCUGGAAUGACAGUAAAUUGGAAUGUAGGAGAUUAGGAAGGAGAGACAGACAGGGUCGUUUUUAAGAAACUUGGCUAUGAGGAGUAAAAGUGAAAUAACUAAACAUGAGGAGGGAAGGCUGUCUGCUGCUUGUUGCCACUGAAUCUGUCAAGCUGAUUUCUCCCAAGCUGAGUAAACAAGAGCAGCAAGGGAUGCCCUGCCCCCCAUCAACAUUCAAAUCAACAGGAUCUUACUGUGUUUUAAAGGAUAAGGUUGGCCAAUCCUAGUUAGACACCUGUCCCGGGGCUUUGUAGUAACUCCAGAUACUCUUAAGUAAAAAAGAGUUUCAGAACUUACUAGAGUUGUUACAGCUUUGAUAUAAGUAGUCUUUAGUAGACCUAAAACCCUUCCUUUGAAUAGCAUGCUUGUGAAAUAGCUCCAGUGAGAAAUGGCUUCUUUAACACACAAGAAGUAACAGGAUCAGUGUCUCAACUCUCUGCCUCAACAGGCAUUUGAGGGUACACAAAGGGGCAUUGGAUUUUAGUCCAUCCAGUUCUCCCAUCAGUGAGGACCUUGGAUACAUUGUUUACAGCUUGGCCUUGAGGUUGUCAUCUAUAUCGUGAGUGGAUUUGCUUCAAUGACUUAUAAGAUCUACUCCUCCCAGAUCUGCUGGAUUUUGAGCCUGUCUUCAGAGCUUCCCUUUGUUUUCCCUUUCCCCAUACCUCCCAUGCAUUUCCUUUUCUUCCACAUAUAAAGCUUCUGCAGCACCCAAGUCCGCAUUACACUGGUAGGAAAAGAGCCCCAUCUACAGCUGACAUGGUCAGAGGUUAUGUCAGGGAAGUAAGAAGUCAGACAUUGAGAAAAUUGAGACUGUUCUUCUCCAGCAGCUUACUUUCCUUGGCUUUUCUCCACCCUUUGCUGCCAGCUUAUUCUCCAUCAUGCUUCUCUUAGUCCAAAUGGGACUUUGUUCAAACAGAUACCCAAGGGCCUAAAAAAAAAUGAACAGCUUUUUGCAUGGGGAACACUAAAGGCCUGAAGCAGCCAGGGUAAAGUCACUGACCUGCUCUGACUCCCUGCCAUGGGUGAGAAGAUCUUCAUUCAUUCAUUUAACCCCAUGCUGUUCAUUCAGUAAUUUCCUACUAAGUGUCUACCAUGUGCUGUGUUUGCUGUGUUUCCCUUGUGUCCUAGAACACAGGAGUAAGAUGCUGACCAAAAUAAACAUAGAAUGUACCUAGUGAAAUUUAUAGUCCAAACAGGGAGAAAGCAUGUUGAAAACUAGCUACACAAUAAAUGCAUAACUACAAAUUGUGAUAAAGUAUUUGUAUCAAUAAGAAAUGUCAACCGUGGCUCUGGAUUUAGACCAGGAAGUUAAGGGAAGGCUUCUCUGAGGAAGCAAUACUUAGAUGGAUGAAGGGCAAAUAGAAGUUAGUCAAGGGAAGAGGAAAGUGCCUCUAGGCAGGUGGAGCAGCACUGCUGAGCCCUGAGGUGCAGGAGUCCCGGGUGGCAGGGACGGUGCAAGAUGAGAUUGGAGAGGUAGGCAGGGGCCAACUAUGCCACACCUGAAAAACCAGGAAAGUGUAAGGUCAUGAAAGCAAGAAAAGAGUUGCAAGAAGAAGGGUGUGGAGCUACAUCAAAUGCUACCGAGAUGCCGUUUCAGUUAAGGGCUGAGAAGUGCCCACUGGCUAAGUGGAAGCUGUUGAUCACCUUAGUGGAAGUGUGGCCAGGAAGUCAGCCUGAAAGGGGCUGAAGGGGGAAGCGGGGUGGAGAGAGGAACUGAAGGCUGCGUAUAAAGGCAGCUUUGUUGAAACAUUAAGUGAAGAUUGGGAACUCAGGAAGGUAAGCUAGGAAUUUGUAUUAGUCUGUUCUCUCAUUGCUGUAAAGAAAUAACCUGAGACUGGAUAAUUUAUAGAGAAAAGAAGUUUGACUCAUGGUUCUGCACACUAUACAGGAAGCAUAGUAACUUCUGCUUUUGGGGACCUCUCAGGAAGCUUCCAAUUGUGGCAGAAGGCAAAGGGAAGCAGGUGUCUUACACGGCAGGAGCAGGAACCAGAGAGAGUGAGGCGGGAGGUGCUGUACACUUUCAAACCACCAGAUCUCAUGAGAACUCACUAUCAUGAGGACAGUACCAAGAGGAAUGGUGCUAAGCCAUUCAUGAGAAAUCUACCCCAUGAUCCAGUCACUUCCCACCAGCCCCCAUCUUCAACACUGGGGAUUACAAUUGAACAUGAGAUUUAGUGGGGACACAGAUCCAAACCAUAUCAGAAUUAGAAGGACAUGUGGGAUAGGGAAAGGUUCUUGGUUUUUUGUUGUUUGCUUUUAAGACAAGAGGUAUUGGCUAUGUUUUCAUUAAGGCAAGAAAGAUUUCAUAGAAAGGGAAAGGUUAAGAUGCAAGAGACCCAUAGGAGUGAGACUCUUGGGCACGAGGCGGAAACAGGGUCAGGAGAGGGGACAAAGGUGGCUUUGUGGAUUUGAUAGCAGAAAAAUGAGACUUUCUAUCUGGUGCCAUAUAGGAGGCAGGGUCAUCCCUGAGAGCAAGAUGGGAGGAGAGAAACAGGAAGGCUGUGGAGCAGUCAGGACAGAAGUGACUGUUGCAGUGAGGGAUGCUUGCUGGGCUCAGGAAGGCCUAGUGGGGAGGCCUGCUUCCCCGACUUGCCUGUGGGGUUUUCUACUCACCACCUGCCCCAUUGGCCCUGCCAGUGUUCUUAGAAGCAUGUAAGAAUGGGGUUUAGAUUUUGUUCCCCAUGUUUUUCCAAUGCCAAAUUGUACCACGUUAUAGAAUUUCCGACAGAUCUUGAAUACUCUGAUGUGGGAGCAAGUGUUUCCUGCUCUGGUAAUUUGACACUAUUUGAUUUCAAAUUAAUUUCAUGAUUUGUUUCCUGCCUUUGGCCUCAUCAUUUGAAAAUUCUGUGAUUUGAUGUCUCUCUUUUCUUGUUGUUUUUUUGUAACUAUGUCUCACAGUUUAGAGCCUUCCAUUUCAUUUUUAUAGAACAUGUGAUAAAGUUGGAAUCUUUCAUGCAAGCCCACUUGCAAAAAUAUCCAAAUAUUUUUGCCGUAUGCAUUUCUUGGCAUCCUCUCUCUCUCUCUCUUGCUCUGUGUCUGUCUGUCUGUCUCUCUGUCUCUCACCUUGAGGCAGCAUUCGUGGCAAUAACUGGAAUGUCUGCUGGACCCUUCCUUUCCCUCUCUCUUUUCUCCCCUCUAUACAGCUGGUGCUCACCAGGUCCCUGCUGCUGUUCUGUCGCUUGGCUUUGUAUCAUAUUGAGUUUCUGCCCUGUGUUCUCUGUCUUCUUUAUAUAUUAACUCCAGAUCCCUGCCACUUUUUUUCCUGGCACCCACAGUCUUUUUCUUUCUUCCAAUGACAGUCAGAAGUUUGGGGGGAGCCCUUUUGGAAGCAACAAGUUGUUUGGGGUUCAUAAGUUCAUACCAAGUAUGAACUUGAUCUUUAGAAAUCAGGCAGGAUGAGGAACGAAAUGAAUAUUUUAUGAACAUCUACUGGUAUUAGACGCACUUCUUAUGCCACCUUAUAUUAACCUUUACCAUAGCUCUGUGGUAGGGAGUAUUGUUUUGAUUUUACAGUCAAUCAAAGGAAGCCUCUUUGCUUAAAGGGAACCUCUUACGUCACCCUCUUUUUAAUUUAACAUGAGU